UACGGGGGGAGCAAGCGUUGUUCGGAAUUACUGGGCGUAAAGGGCGCGUAGGCGGCCUUCUAAGUCAGACGUGAAAUCCCCCGGCUUAACCUGGGAACUGCGUCUGAUACUGGGAGGCUUGAGUAUGGGAGAGGGAUGUAGAAUUCCAGGUGUAGCGGUGAAAUGCGUAGAUAUCUGGAGGAAUACCGGUGGCGAAGGCGGCAUCCUGGACCAUUACUGACGCUGAGGCGCGAAAGCUAGGGGAGCAAACGGG
rnacentral:rRNA from 1 species